GUAGAUUUGUGUCUUUUAUUGUGGAGAUGACUCCUUUAUGGCUAAGUUUAUUAAUGAAAAUUGAAAGCCAUUCAGAAUUUUUUUUCAGUCUUUCUCAGAUUACAGUUUAACAUUACUUUAUACGUAGCGCCGAUUUUAAGAAUUUCAACUAGUCCAAAUUUGCUGUAGAUGUAGUGGAGACUAUAAAUACCGAGUCCAAUAUAUAUUUGUGUAAUGUGCUAACAUGUUCCAAUACUUCCUUACAUAACACAUUUAUGAUUUUCAUUUUGGGAACUAACAGAACUAGAAGAUUCAUUUUUUUCAAAGACGAUUAUCUCAUCUGAUGUUAACAAGGACAAAUUUAUGAUCUACCAAUCUCCACAACCUUUUGGGAAACAGAAAUGCUUGGUACAUCAUGUCUGGGAUGAAGGUCAUUGAAAGUAAGUGUUUCUCGAGAGGGAAAAAGGAAUUAUGCUGUCUGUAAUAGGUAAUUUUCUAAACUUUGUUUUGACAUUUUAAAUCAUGAAUGAUAUUUCGAGCUGUGUGUUUCUCUGAAUGAUAUUCAUUAUAUGCUAUGAAAAACAAGCUAAAAAUGGACUGCAUGUUAAAUUGAAUAAUUGAUGUUGGAGAUUUGGGUGUUUUGCACCGUUACCAACCCAUUCAUUUACUUGCUCAACUUUGGUGAAAUUGAUCUUAAGAGCUAUAUACCCGACCUUCAGUUUAUGUAUAACUAAUCAAACGGUAGAUCUGAAGUUCUAUUUUUUUCAUAGAACUAAAAAUAUUUAGGUUCCAUACUUGUACGUGGAUGAUAAAUAUGGUGUAAUUGUGUAAUAUCUUCUGUUGGUCGAUAUGUAUUUAUAAUGUUCAACUCUAAGAAUCAGAAUUUCUUAUCUGGAUAGACUCUUUUGAAAGUAGAGACCGUCCAUAACUAAACAGGUGUAUUUGCCUCUAAUUUUAAGACAUUUACUUUGGUUAUGAGGAAUCAUAAAUGCACAAAAUGGACUAACUUUUAAAGCUACUAUACAUUUUCCUCCAAGUGCAGCAUGAGUGUUUUUGCUUAAUCUGUGUGCUCUCGCUUUUAAUUCAUCUUUAUUUUGAACUUUAAACUUUAAUUUAUGUUAUCACUCUUUUCUCUAUUUUUGUGUUCGGACCUUUUGGUCUCUCUGCUGAAGAACUCAAAAAGUAGCACUUGUGGAGAAAUUGUGAAAUUUAGAGAGAGAAUCUUAUCACACUAAUUGGGUUGAGUUGAUUUUAAUGACCUGAUAUAAUAUAUUUUACUUACCAUUCACAUAAGGAUUCAAUGAAUACAUCCUUGAUUGUUAGCAGUGACAAAACUCAUAAAGUGUAUAGAUUUUAGGGCUAUUUGAUCACUUUAUCUAUUCUGCUUAUAAGUUCUAAGAUUUUGUAUUUAUCUGUAAAAUGAGGAUUCACAAUUAUUGUGGCUGUCACAAACGGUGGUGAUAAUGCGGGUAAGUAACUUUGAUCACUGAAAUUUUUCUAGAUAACUAUGAAGCAUUAGUUACACCUUAUAUCUUGUGAAAAUAUGAAUGUUGUGUUUAUACUUGCUGGUGCACUACAAAGAACAACUCAACUCAUUUUUUCAAUAAAUAUUUCAAAAUUAUGUUUUAAUAUUCACUCCAUUUUUACUAUGUCUGAGUUUAUAUCUUUUUGUUUUUUCUUUUUCAUUAGCUCUCCGCUGGAGGGGUACAGUUUAGAUAGUGUGUUGAUUUGUCCCAUUUGAAGCCCUUGGAGUAUGCCUGUUUAGUGGUAUCCCUUGGAAGAAUAAAUGCUUCUCCAGGCAGGUUGAAAUAUGAUGUCUUGGAGUUUGGAGAAAGGAAAAAAAAUCCUCUCCAAAAGUUUGAAAUGUGAUCCCUGGAUGUUAGGAUUGUCGCAGGCAACAUUGGAUAUUUCAGAAUAUUUUGUAGAUUUUUGAUCCUCAAUACAAGAAAGCACUACGAAAUGUUAAUAUGCUUGUAAACAUUGAAUCAACUAAACAACAAUGUUUCCUUUAGUGUUUUUUUUUUAGGAAGGUAACAAUUGUAUUUCUAUUAAACCCAAAAGAAGUGCUUAGUUUAGAUCUUUACAAAAACAAAAACAAAAGGUACAAAGGACUAGUGUUCAAAAACCUAUAUUCUUAUACA